rnacentral:piRNA from 1 species
UGAUGUUUGUGCAGGAAUAGA